rnacentral:lncRNA from 1 species
GUUUACUGUGGGUUUGUCAUAUACAGCCUUUGUUAUGUUGAGAAGUUUACGAAGACAAAAGAGGAAUGACGACUCAGCAUAUUGUAAUUAUCCAGUUGAUAUUUAUCUUGUUCCAGUCACCUUUAGAAAGCUGUUUGCUCUCAAAUCUCCAGGCAGCCUCUAUUGAUUGAUCUGAGUUGGCAGAUGAGUUGGCAGGCAAGGGCAGUGACUGGAAGCUGGGAGAGAGGGUCAAC